CAUACCAGAAAAAAAUAGUUUUUGACUAUACAUGGAAUUAAACUACCUUGGUUGUUGCCUUGAAGCAGAUCCGGCCCAAGGUAAUGUUGAAGUGUAGGCGAAACAGAAUUUUGGUCCCCCCCCCCCCCAAACCAAUCACCAAAAAAGAAAAGGUAGAAGAUAGAGGUGAAUAGAAUGGAUAACAGUUUUCCUUUCAAACCCGAAGUUUAUUUACAACAUUAUGUUCAUAUAGUAUCAUUAAAUAGAAUUAAUGCCAAACUGGCAUCCUAGAAUGCAACUAUUUUUUAUUAAACUAAGCAACAAUUUUUUUUUGUUUUUUUAGUCUACAAGAACUACACAGCUAGGCCUUCCCAGUUGCCGCAGCUGCUCUGUCUGCAGACACCACCUUUUCUCCUAGGAGACCGGGACUCCAACCUACUUAGACAUGAUUCCCCAUGAAGCUCUAGAAGCAGAAGUCACCGUAGAGGUUGGAACUGAGGAUCAGCAAGCAUCACCAGGUGAGUUCUUCAAAACAUUUUCACAUAAUCAGUUAUUUUUUCCCCAAAUGUUUGUGUUGCUUUGUUGCUGUUAUUAAUGUAAACACCUUUUUAGUUCUAAUUAGCAGCAAAGGAACAAAAAAUGGUCUUGAACAUUGUUUCCUGCAGGGGGUUGGACUGGCUGGCCCGUGAGGUCUCUUCCAACUCUAUGAUUCUAUGAAUGUGGUGUUUAUUGCUAAGUAAAUGGAAUCUGGAGACACCAUCACUUGUAGCACAAAAUCCAUCUCCUGGGGGGUUCUUCUCCCUGGCUCAACAUCUGCUCUGAUGUAGAUGGAAGUGGACGAUUCUCCAGCAGCAGCAGCAAAUGGCAAGUGCUGUUGAUGUUCAGCGAUAGUUGUACAUUUGUAUAUUUCUGUAUUACUUACCUGUCGUUUUAAGAUGAGUGUUUUAGUGCUCCACGCAAAACCUCAAGAUCAAGGAUUGCGGCGGUCUGUGGCUGAUGGGCUAUGAUAACUUUAAAAACAAACUGUAAUGGCAUGUUCUUUACUGUGAUACCUGGAAAACGUUCCUCAGACAUAGGUGCCGUUAUAUGAGAUGUUGCUUGAAGCGGCAUCGUCAACAACUGGAGAAGUGAACUACACAUCUUGGGAGUCUACGCAUCUGCCGAGUCAACUGUAAGUUAUUGGGGAAGAAGAGUGAAUUAUGCUUUAGUCACCCAUGGUUACCUUUUGUGGCAGAUCCCUGAUGUUAUCUACUGUGU
rnacentral:lncRNA from 1 species